rnacentral:rRNA from 1 species
GACGAACGCUGGCGGCGUGCCUAAUACAUGCAAGUAGAACGCACAGUUUAUACCGUAGCUUGCUACACCAUAGACUGUGAGUUGCGAACGGGUGAGUAACGCGUAGGUAACCUGCCUGGUAGCGGGGGAUAACUAUUGGAAACGAUAGCUAAUACCGCAUAAUAUUAAUUAUUGCAUGAUAAUUGAUUGAAAGAUGCAACUGCAUCACUACCAGAUGGACCUGCGUUGUAUUAGCUAGUAGGUGAGGUAACGGCUCACCUAGGCGACGAUACAUAGCCGACCUGAGAGGGUGAUCGGCCACACUGGGACUGAGACACGGCCCAGACUCCUACGGGAGGCAGCAGUAGGGAAUCUUCGGCAAUGGACGGAAGUCUGACCGAGCAACGCCGCGUGAGUGAAGAAGGUUUUCGGAUCGUAAAGCUCUGUUGUAAGAGAAGAACGGGUGUGAGAGUGGAAAGUUCACACUGUGACGGUAUCUUACCAGAAAGAGACGGCUAACUACGUG